GAAGGACUAUAUCUCAGUGGUAGAUUAUUUGCAUUGCAAGCAGAAGGUGCCAGGUUUAAUCCCUGGCAUUUUCA